AACUGGAGCCACUUUUCAGCUGCCGCUGGCUCCCAUCUCAGCGCUUUUGCACCGAGAGUCGGUGUUUUUGCACGCUUCUCCCAGGUCCAGGGAUCAAAGGGGGCCCGAGGAUCCUGAAGGUGAAGCCCUGCCCGAGGCUCCACGGCU
ensembl:lncRNA